rnacentral:lncRNA from 1 species
CCCAGAUGGCAGGAUGACCAGUAGAUGCUAAAUAUAUUAAAAUAUAAAUUAGAUACACAAUAAGUAUAUAUGACCAAACCAUUAUUUUGCUGUACAAAAAGAAUUGGACUCUAAAAUAUUGUACAAUUAGCCUGUGAAGGAAAUAAAAACUGCAGGUGGGCAAAAAUAUAGGGAUUGGGAAUUCAAUGUAAUGGUUUUUAGUUAUCUCCCAGAAUUCUUUCACUGGGUGUAGCUGGUUUAGUUCAUUACUGCUCCAUUAGAACUGAUUUGGUUCAUCUCAUUGCUGAGGAUGGACAGGUCCAUCAGAAUUGGUCAUCAUAUAGAAUUGUUGUUGAAGUCUAUAAUGAUCUCUUGGCCCUGCUCGUUUCACUCAGCAUCAGUUCGUGUAAGUCUCUCCAAGCCUUUUUGAAAUCAUCCUGUUGGUCAUUUCUUACACAACAAUAAUAUUCCAUAAUAUUCAUAUACCACAAUUUAUUCAGCCAUUCUCCAAUUGAUGGGCAUCCACUCAGUUUCCAGUUUCUGGCCACUACAAAGAGGGCUGCCAAAAACAUUCAUGCACAUACAGUUCCCUUUCCCUUCUUUAUGAUCUCUUUGGGAUAUAAUCCCAGUAGUAACACUGCUGGAUCAAAGGGUAUGCACAGUUUGAUAACUUUUUGAGCAUAGGUCCAAACUACUCUCCAGAAUGGUUGGAUGUAUUCACAAUUCCACCAACAAUAUAUUAGUGGCCCUGUUUUCCCACAUCCCCUCCAACAUUCCGCAUUAUCUUUCCCUGUCAUUCUAGACAGUCUGACAGGUGUGUAGUGGUAUCUCAGAGUUGUCUUAAUUUGCAUUUCUCUGAUUAAUAAUGACUUGGAGCAUCUUUUCAUAUGGCUAGAAAUAGUUUCAAUUUCUUCAUCUGAAAAUUGUCUGUUCAAAUCUUUUGACCAUUUAUCAAUUGGAGUAUGGCUUGAUUUCUUAUAAAUUAGAAUUAAUUCUCUAUAUAUUUUGGAAAUCAGGCCUUUAUCAGAACCUUUGGCUGUAAAAAUAUUUUCCCAGUUUAUUGUUUCCCUUCUCAUCUUGUCUGCAUUAGUUUUGUUUGUCCAAAAACUUUUCAGUUUGGUAUAAUCAAAACUUUCCAUUUUGUGAUCAGUAAUGAUCUCUAGUUCUUCUUUGGUCAUAAAUUCCUUCCUCUUCCACAGGUCUGAGAGGUAAACUAUCCUGUGCUCCUCUAAUUUAUUUAUAAUCUCAUUCUUUAUGCCUAGGUCAUGAACCCAUUUUGACUUUAUCUUGGUGUACGUUCUUAAGUGUGGAUGAAUGCCUAGUUUCUGCCAAAUUAGUUUCCAAUUUUCUCAGCAAUUUUUGUCAAACAGUAAGUUCUUAUCCCAAAAGCUGGGGUUUUUGGGUUUGUCAAACACUAGGUUGCUAUAGUUGUUGACUGCUUUUAGACUUUAGAAUUUGAACAAAUGAGACAAUAAAUAUAUUAGAGAGAUAAAAUAUAGCAAAUAGUCAAAAGAUAUUACCAGAAUUUCACAUUUGUGAAAUUGGAGU